GACGAACGCUGGCGGCGUGCUUAACACAUGCAAGUCGAACGGAAAGGCCCUGCUUUUGUGGGGUGCUCGAGUGGCGAACGGGUGAGUAACACGUGAGUAACCUGCCCUUGACUUUGGGAUAACUUCAGGAAACUGGGGCUAAUACCGGAUAGGAGCUCCUGCUGCAUGGUGGGGGUUGGAAAGUUUCGGCGGUUGGGGAUGGACUCGCGGCUUAUCAGCUUGUUGGUGGGGUAGUGGCUUACCAAGGCUUUGACGGGUAGCCGGCCUGAGAGGGUGACCGGCCACAUUGGGACUGAGAUACGGCCCAGACUCCUACGGGAGGACGCAGUGGGGAAUAUUGCACCAUGGGCGGAAGCCUGAUGCAGCAACGCCGCGUGCGGGAUGACGGCCUUCGGGUUGUAAACCGCUUUCGCCUGUGACGAAGCGUGAGUGACGGUAAUGGGUAAAGAAGCACCGGCUAACUACGUG
rnacentral:rRNA from 1 species